AACGAAAUCUCAUCAAGAUCACUAAAGAUAUCAAAUACACCAUGCCUUUAUGUAGAUCACACGCAAGGUCAUGAAAAAACGAUUACUAAAUGUUCAACUGUUUCAGUGCAAUUAUUACUGCAUCGAUGCUUACGCUGUUAGCUUCUCUGCAACAACCUCAAUAUUUCAAUGGCGACUAUGGCCCCAAAAAUAUAUUCAACGUUCCUGAUAACUUUAUUAGUUGCUGAAAUUGCGAGGGAGGUGAAUUGUCAGCAAAGAACAGGCGCUGUCACUAAAAGGACAUAUCUUGCUUCAGGUCUAUCAACAAAACCGCCACAAUUUUCAUUAUCUCAAUACCCAUUUCCACAAAAACCUCAGUACAACUUUCCGCAGACACCCCAAUACCAACAUCCUCAAUUCCAAUUUUCACAAAUACCUCAAUAUCAGUUCCCAAAUAUUCCCCAAUAUCAAAUUCCACAAAUUUCCCAGUUUCAUUUACCACAAAUUCCUAGUUUGCCAACGAGUUAUGGACAAGUACUGGAUGCAACUCUUCAAUUUAUUAGAAACAAUCAACAGUCCAUCCAACAAAAACAAGACUAAACAGAAAUUUGAAGAAUGAAUGUAGUUCACAAGAGUAAAAUUUCCCUCUUGGAUCUUAAUUGUAAGAGAUAUUCGUUUGAAUUAUGUAAUGAUACAAAUAUAAGGAUGAAAAAUUG